AACGAACGUUGGCGGCGUGGAUUAGGCAUGCAAGUCGCGGGAAUGCCAGCAAUGGCGGAACCGGCGUAAGGGGCAGUUAGGCAUGGGUACCUACCCCGGGGUUGGGCAUAGCCCGUAGAGAUAUGGGGUAAUUCCCAGCGAUGUCGCAAGACCAAAGCUCCGGCGCCCCGGGAGGGGCCCAUGUGAUAUUAGCUCGUUGGCGGGGUAACGGCCCACCAAGGCGAAGAUGUCUAGCGGGUGUGAGAGCACGACCCGCGCCACUGGCACUGAGACACUGGCCAGACACCUACGGGUGGCUGCAGUCGAGGAUCUUCGGCAAUGGGCGCAAGCCUGACCGAGCGACGCCGCGUGUGCGACGAAGGCCUUCGGGUUGUAAAGCACUGUCGAGGGGGAGAAAAGCCGAAAGGUUUGAUCUAUCCCUGGAGGAAGCACGGGCUAAGUUCGUGCCAGCAGCCGCCGUAAAAC
rnacentral:rRNA from 1 species